rnacentral:rRNA from 1 species
AGAGUUUGAUCCUGGCUCAGGACGAACGCUGGCGGCGUGCUUAACACAUGCAAGUCAAGGGGAAAGUCAUCUUCGGGUGAUAAGUAUACUGGCGAACGGGUGAGUAACGCGUAGGCAACCUGCCCCUGUGAGUGGGAUAACCUCGAGAAAUCGGGGCUAAUACCGCAUAAAUCAUAUUAAACGCAUGUUAGAUAUGUCAAAGGGUGCUUUUGUAUCGCACAGGGAUGGGCCUGCGUUCCAUUAGUUAGUUGGUGAGGUAAAGGCUCACCAAGGCGACGAUGGAUAGCUGGUUUGAGAGAGUGAUCAGCCACACUGGGACUGAGAUACGGCCCAGACUCCUACGGGAGGCAGCAGUGAGGAAUAUUGCGCAAUGGAGGAAACUCUGACGCAGCGACGCCGUGUGGGGGAUGAAGUUCUACGGAGUGUAAACCCCUGUAAGCAGGGACGAAUGGCUGUAUAUCGUAAGGUAUACGGAUUGACGGUACCUGCAGAGUAAGCUCCGGCUAACUCCGUGCCAGCAGCCGCGGUAAUACGGGGGGAGCAAGCGUUGUCCGGAAUUACUGGGCGUAAAGGGCGUGUAGGCGGAUUGGUCAGUCAGAUGUGAAAGCCCGCGGCUUAACCGUGGAAUUGCAUUUGAAACUUCCAGUCUUGAGUUCGAGAGAGGGUAGUGGAAUUCCCAGUGUAGCGGUGAAAUGCGUAGAUAUUGGGAAGAACACCAGUAGCGAAGGCGGCUACCUGGCUCGCAACUGUCGCUAAUGCGCGAAAGCGUGGGGAGCAAACAGGAUUAGAUACCCUGGUAGUCCACGCUGUAAACGAUGAACACUAGGUGUUGGUCUCGACACGUCGGGAUCGGUGCCGCAGCAAACGCAUUAAGUGUUCCGCCUGGGGAGUACGAUCGCAAGGUUGAAACUCAAAGGAAUUGACGGGGGCCCGCACAAGCGGUGGAGCAUGUGGUUUAAUUCGAUGCAACGCGAAGAACCUUACCGGGGUUUGACAUAUUAGUGAAGUAUGCAGAGAUGUAUACGCCUUUCGGGGCGCUAUUACAGGUGCUGCAUGGCUGUCGUCAGCUCGUGUCGUGAGAUGUUGGGUUAAGUCCCGCAACGAGCGCAACCCUUGCCCCUAGUUGCCAGCGGAUAACGCCGGGGACUCUAGGGGGACAGUCGGCGAUAAGCCGGAGGAAGGUGGGGAUGACGUCAAGUCCUCAUGGCCCUUACAUCCCGGGCUACACACGUGCUACAAUGGCUGGUACAACGAGUCGCGAUACUGCAAAGUGGAGCCAAUCUCUUAAAACCAGUCUCAGUUCGGAUUGCAGUCUGCAACUCGACUGCAUGAAGUCGGAAUCGCUAGUAAUCGCGGAUCAGCACGCCGCGGUGAGUACGUUCCCGGGCCUUGUACACGCCGCCCGUCACGCCAUGGGAGUCGGCAGUACCCGAAGCCGAUGGCCUAAUCCCGGUUUACCGGGAAAGGAAUCGUCGAAGGUAAGGCCGGUGACUGGGGCGAAGUCGUAACAAGGUA